GCGCCCGUAGCUCAGGGGACAGAGCAGCGGACUUCUAAUCCGCCGGUCGCAGGUUCGAAUCCUGCCGGGCGCG
rnacentral:tRNA from 5 species